rnacentral:rRNA from 1 species
AGGAUUAACGCUGGCGGCGUGCAUGAAACAUGCAAGUCGAGCGCGGUGUGAUGCGGGGUAACCCAAUUCACAUCUAGCGGCGAACGGGUGAGUAACACGUGAGCAACCUACCUUUGAGUUGGGGAUAGCCCUGGGAAACCAGGAUUAAUACCCGAUGUGGUCACAACAGGACAUCCUGAUGUGAGUAAAGGCGCAAGCCGCUCAAUGACGGGCUCGCGGCCUAUUAGCUUGUUGGUGGGGUAACGGCCCACCAAGGCGAUGAUGGGUAGCUGGUCUGAGAGGACGAUCAGCCACACUGGGACUGAGACACGGCCCAGACUCCUACGGGAGGCAGCAGUAGGGAAUCUUGCGCAAUGGGCGAAAGCCUGACGCAGCCAUGCCGCGUGAAUGAUGAAGGUCUUAGGAUUGUAAAAUUCUUUCAGCGGGGACGAUAAUGACGGUACCCGCAGAAGAAGCCCGGCUAACUUCGUGCCAGCAGCCGG